rnacentral:rRNA from 1 species
AUUGAACGCUGGCGGCAGGCCUAACACAUGCAAGUCGAACGAGUGGCGGACGGGUGAGUAAUGUCUGGGAAACUGCCUGAUGGAGGGGGAUAACCACUGGAAACGGUAGCUAAUACCGCAUACCAUCGGAUGUGCCCCGAUGGGAUUAGCUAGUAGGGGGGGUAAAGGCUCACCUGGGCGACGAUACCUAGCUGGUCUGAGAGGAUGACCAGCCACACUGGAACGGAGGCACGGUCCGGACUCCUACGGGAGGCAGCAGUGGGGAGUAUUGGACAAUGGGCGAAAGCCUGAUCCAGCCAUGCCGCGUGUGUGAAGAAGGUCUUCGGAUUGUAAAGCACUUUAAGUUGGGAGGCGUUACCAACAGAAUAGGCACCGGCUAACUUCGUGCCAGCAGCCGCGGUAAUUC